GGAGUUAGAGGUUGCUGAUGCUUAUCUCUUUAUCUUGUCUGGGGUUGUGUUUCUUUUGCUCUCUCCUGAUCCACAAUUUCGGCAAGAAACCAGGGCAAGAAACAGCCUCUCCGUCCCCCACCGCCUGGAAUUAUGCAGGCACUAUACCGUCAUCAUCAACUCAUCAUCAUCAUCAUCAUCAUCAUGUACACUUACCAGGCACUACUCAAAGGGCUUUACAAGUAUAAGAAUGGGUCAUAUUGAUCAUGCACUGAAAUUAUGAGGCUCUCCUGACGACUCCACUAUCCUCUGUAAUCAGAUGGACGAAUCUCUAGUGUUAGGAAAAGAAAUUGUGGACAGGGAUUCUCAAAUCACACCACAGAGAAGACCAAACCAUCUGAUCAGAGAGAUCUUCCUGGAGAAGGCAAGCCCUGAGCUGAGUCUUAAAGAAGGAACUAUGUAAGAGAAGAGGGAGAGUUCAAACAGAAGAAAGAGUGUGUUUCAAGUCACAGAGAAGAAAGAGAGGCCAUGCCAGGGAAUUGCACUUGGUUGGGCCUGCCUGGAGCUCAGCAUUUGCAUGGGGGUGAGGCAGAAAAUGGGAUAUUAGAGAAGGUGAAAGAGGCUGGCUUUGGUGUAUAGAAUAAAGUUAUCUGUGGCAGA